rnacentral:tRNA from 1 species
AGAGCUGUAGUUCAGUUGGUUAGCGCUUUUGAAAGCAUGGCGGCCUGUCACGCCGGGGGUCGCGGGUUCGAGUCCCGUCCGCUCCG